rnacentral:sRNA from 1 species
GCUGGGUAUGGUGGUGCAUGCCUGUAAUCCCAGUGACUCAGGAGGCUGAGGCAGGAGGAUAGCAAGUUCAAGGCCAGACUUAGCAUUUGGCUGCAAAUUAGCAAGACACUGUCUCAA